UACAGAGGGUGCAAGCGUUGUUCGGAAUUAUUGGGCGUAAAGCGCGUGUAGGCGGCUUGGCAAGUCGGGUGUGAAAGCCCUCAGCUCAACUGAGGAAGUGCGCCCGAAACUGCUUUGCUUGAGUGCUGGAGAGGGUCGCGGAAUUCCCCAAGUAGAGGUGGAAUUCGUAGAUAUGGGGAGGAACACCGGUGGCGAAGGCGGCGACCUGGGACAACACUGACGCUGAGGCACGAAAGCGUGGGGAGCAAACAGG
rnacentral:rRNA from 1 species